GUUCGAUUAGCUAGUUGGUGGGGUAAAGGCCUACCAAGGCGAUGAUCGAUAGCUGGUUUGAGAGGAUGAUCAGCCACACUGGGACUGAGACACGGCCCAGACUCCUACGGGAGGCAGCAGUGGGGAAUAUUGGACAAUGGGGGCAACCCUGAUCCAGCAAUGCCGCGUGUGUGAAGAAGGUUUUCGGAUUGUAAAGCACUUUCGGCGGGGACGAUGAUGACGGUACCCGCAGAAGAAGCCCCGGCUAACUUCGUGCCAGCAGCCGCGGUAAUACGAAGGGGGCUAGCGUUGCUCGGAAUGACUGGGCGUAAAGGGCGUGUAGGCGGUUUGUACAGUCAGAUGUGAAAUCCCCGGGCUUAACCUGGGAGCUGCAUUUGAUACGUGCAGACUAGAGUGUGAGAGAGGGUUGUGGAAUUCUCAGUGUAGAGGUGAAAUUCGUAGAUAUUGGGAAGAACACCGGUGGCGAAGGCGGCAACCUGG
rnacentral:rRNA from 1 species